GCAAAUAUUCUCCUACUUUUAUUUUUAGUGGUAACAAUAAUAAUACGUCUCUCUGUCCAAGAAGCUAUGCCUGAAACUAGGAUUUUACCUACUGUGUUUGGUAAAGGUAAAAUUUGAAAUAGCUCAUGUGGAAUCACAAAGCCUGGUGUUGAGACUUAUCCUAGGAGCCAAAGACUGGCCAGGCUGUGUGUGUGUGUGUGUGUAUGUGUGCUGUGCAUAGUGUGUGUUGUGUGGUGUGUGUGUGUGUUCUUAAGUCACCAGGUCAGAUUAUCUAGAUUUUAUUUUAUUUCAUUUUGUUUUAUUUUUUUGUAGAGAUGACGUCUCACUAUGCUGCUCAGGCUGGUCUCGAACUCCUGGGCUCAAGAGAUCUUCCUGCCUCAGCCUCCCAAACUGCUGUGAUUAUUGACAUGAGCCACAGCUCCUGGCCAAGCUUACCUGGAUUUCAAAAGAUAAACACAAGCCCAUGUGAUCCCAGCAAGAAACUGAAGACCCUUGGUCAAAUCUUACCUGUGGGAGACUCCUCCACACACCCAGACCCCACGGUGAACAUCUGGAGGCUCAUCAGGUGAGCUGUUUCUAUCAAUAAAAUGGUUCCUGAAAAGUUGUAUGUAAGUAACAUUUUUAUAAAUUGAAAAUCUGACAGGAACUCUGCAUAUAGUCUAUUUAGAUUUAAAUACACCUUGUCGUACAAAUACUUAAUCCCUCUAUAUUUUAGGUUUUGUGAAUUGUGUUUUUCUAAUAGUGUAUUUUUUGUUUGUUUGUUUUGAGACAGCGUCUCACUCUGUCACCCAGGCUGGAGUGCAAUAGCGCCAUCUCAGCUCACUGCAACCUCCACCUCCUGGGUUCCAGCGAUUCUCCUGCCUCAGCCUCCCGAGUAGCUGGGAUUAUAAGCAUGCACCACCAUGCCCAGCUAAUUUUUGUAUUUUUAGUAGAGACGGGGGUUUCACCAUGUUGGCCAGGCUGGUCUCGAACUCCUGACCUCUGGUGGUCUCCCCGCCUUGGGCUCCCAAAGUGCUAGCAUUACAGGCACAAGCCACUGCACCUGGCCUAGUAGUGCAUUAUCUUAAAGAGGAACCCUUCUCCAGCGACAAGGCCAU
rnacentral:lncRNA from 1 species